GGUUGAUCCUGCCAGUAGUCAUAUGCUUGUCUCAAAGAUUAAGCCAUGCAUGUCUAAGUAUAAACCAAUUUAUACAGGUGAAACUGCGAAUGGCUCAUUAAAUCAGUUAUAGUUUAUUUGAUAGUCCAAUUACUACUUGGAUAACCGUGGUAAUUCUAGAGCUAAUACAUGCUAAAAAUCCCGACUUCUGGAAGGGAUGUAUUUAUUAGAUAAAAAGCCAAUAGCCCGCAAGGGUUUUUCACUGGUGAAUCAUGAUAACUUUUCGAAUCGCAUGGUCUUGAACCGGCGAUGAA
rnacentral:rRNA from 1 species